rnacentral:rRNA from 1 species
GGGAGGCAGCAGUAGGGAAUCUUCCGCAAUGGGCGAAAGCCUGACGGAGCAACGCCGCGUGAGUGAUGAAGGUCUUCGGAUCGUAAAACUCUGUUAUUAGGGAAGAACAUAUGUGUAAGUAACUGUGCACAUCUUGACGGUACCUAAUCAGAAAGCCACGGCUAACUACGUGCCAGCAGCCGCGGUAAUACGUAGGUGGCAAGCGUUAUCCGGAAUUAUUGGGCGUAAAGCGCGCGUAGGCGGUUUUUUAAGUCUGAUGUGAAAGCCCACGGCUCAACCGUGGAGGGUCAUUGGAAACUGGAAAACUUGAGUGCAGAAGAGGAAAGUGGAAUUCCAUGUGUAGCGGUGAAAUGCGCAGAGAUAUGGAGGAACACCAGUGGCGAAGGCGACUUUCUGGUCUGUAACUGACGCUGAUGUGCGAAAGCGUGGGGAUCAAACAGGAUUAGAUACCCUGGUAGUCCACGCCGUAAACGAUGAGUGCUAAGUGUUAGGGGGUUUCCGCCCCUUAGUGCUGCAGCUAACGCAUUAAGCACUCCGCCUGGGGAGUACGACCGCAAGGUUGAAACUCAAAGGAAUUGACGGC